rnacentral:rRNA from 1 species
AUGUGCAGCAAACUUUGGAUGGCCUUUGCAUCAGUUAGAUGUGAAAAAUGCUUUCUUGCAUGGAGAACUAAAAGAAGAAGUCUAUAUGGAAGUCCCCCUGGAUUGGACUCAUCUAAAACUGAAGGCAAGGUGUGUAGAUUGAAAAAGUCUUUGUAUGGUCUGAAACAAUCACCGAGAGCUUGGUUCGAUAGAUUCCGAAGGGCUAUGUGUGAGAUGGGAUACAAACAAUGCAAUAAGGAUCACACUGUCUUCUACCGACAUCAGAAUAGGAAGAUUGUCAUCCUUGCAGUCUAUGUAGAUGAUAUAAUCAUAACUGGAGAUGAUGGGACGGAGAUAGCAAGGUUAAAGGAGUGUCUUGGAAAGGCAUUUGAAGUGAAGGAUCUUGGUCAGAUGAAGUAUUUUCUGGGUAUUGAGAUUGCAAGAUCUGCCAAAGGGAUAGCCUUGUCCCAGCGCAAGUACACCUUGGAUCUCCUCAGUGAUAUGGGAAUGUUAGAGUGUCGAGCUGCUACUACCCCAAUUGACCAAAACCAUAAGGUAACAGCACAAUCUGGAGAUCUAGUGGAUAAGGAGAAAUACCAAAGACUGGUAGGGCGUUUACUAUACUUGUGUCACAUAAGACCAGACAUUGCCUAUGCUGUGAGCAUAGUGAGUAGGUAUAUGCAUGAGCCCAGAAGUGGACAUGUGGAGGCAGCACACAGAAUUCUGAAGUAUUUGAAGGGAACACCAGGAAGAGGACUGUGGUUCGAAGGGAAUGGCCACUUGGUAGUUGAUGGGUAUAGUGAUGCAGACUGGGCAAGUUGCCUGGAUGAUCGUCGAUCAACAUCUGGGUAUUGUGUGUUUGUGGGAGGUAACUUAGUUUCAUGGAGAAGCAAGAAGCAGCCAGUUGUAUCAAAAUCAACAGCAGAAGCAGAAUAUAGAGCCAUGUCUCAGGGGUUAAGUGAGAUGUUGUGGGUGAGAAACCUUCUAAGUGAAUUGAAAUUGCUAAGAGAAGGACCUCUGAAUGUCUGGUGUGACAACAGGUCUGCUAUAUGCAUAGCUAACAACCCAGUGCAACAUGACAGAACUAAGCAUGUAGAGAUUGAUCGAUUCUUCAUCAAAGAGAAGCGUGAUGCUGGGAUUAUAAAGAUUGAGUAUGUGCACACAGGCCAACAGAUAGCAGACUGCUUGACAAAAGGUUUGGCAGGAAAGGAAUGCAACCUAGCUUGCGACAAGAUGGGAAUGAUAGAUAUCUACCACCCAUCUUGA